CACCAGGCGGCGCCUCGGUUUGCAAUCCCCCCAUCCGAAAGGGCGCGUCGCACCCGGAUCGAUACAGCCCGGGCUUGGCGCGCGCGAGUAACCCCUAAAAACCGACGCCCGUGGUACAAUUCCAACGGCAGACUUCUGGCGAACAACACGGUCGUUCGUUGUCAUCGUCUCUCGAUCGCCUGUCUCAGAGUCCACUCCAUGAUAGCCGACAUAAAAGUCCGUCUCAGUGUCGUUGCGUACUCGCAAAUGGCGGUUUCCGGCCACUACCGAAGUAGUGGUAUUGCUGUACGUUUGCAUAACGGCAAAACGCAUCGUCGGUGUAGUGAUGCUCUACAUCUACCCUGUAGAUCCGAAUUUGUUUGAAAAACGGCGACAAAUUCGGUUCUAGAGAGGUUUGUGUGGUGCAUAUUCCUUACGACCAGAUCUACGUCAUCAAAAGCCCCGAACCAAACGAAUUUAUUAUUAUAGUUUUAAUUUGUUUACUAAUAUUAAUUGGGAAUAAUUUGUUAUUUACAAUUGUUUUAAAAAUGCAUAACGCAUUCAAAAUGAUUUUAUAUCAACUGCUAAAGUCUACCAUUGUUCGUUGUAAAAUAAAAAUGGCAGUGAAAUAUUUA